rnacentral:rRNA from 1 species
AUCGAACGCUGGCGGCAGGCCUAACACAUGCAAGUCGAGCGAGCGGCGGACGGGUGAGUAAUGUAUGGGGACCGCCCGAUUGAGGGGGAUAACUACUGUAAACGGUGGCUACUACCGCAUACUGUCUGAUAUCCCAUCUGGGUUUAGCUAGUGGGUAAGUUAAUGGCUUACCUAGGCGACGAUCCCUAGCUGGUCUGAGAGGAUGAUCAGCCACACUGGGACUGAGACACGGCCCAGACUCCUACGGAGGCAGCAGUGGGGAAUAUUGCACAAUGGGGGCAAGCCUGAUACAGCCAUGCCGCGUGUAUGAAGAAGGCCCUAGGGUUGUAAAGUACUUUCAGUCGGGAGGCGUUACCGACAGAAGAAGCACCGGCUAACUCCGUGCCAGCCGCCGCGGUAAUUC